GAAACAGGUGUGUGGCUGUGGGCUGAUUGGACUUGCCAAGACACAAGGCAGAGAGUGCCAAAUAGUUGUAGCUUGGUUGGAACUUGCCGAAACAAGGGUUGGCUACUGGAAUGAAACUGAAACUAGGACAUGGAUUUGCCUUUGUGAGCACAAAAGGUGAAGGAUAGGCAUAAUGGGAACCUCCUAUUGGAUGAAGAAGGUCAUAUCAUACAUAUUGAUUUUGGUUUCAUGCUUUCCAAUUCACCUGGUGGUGCUAACUUUGAAAGUACACCUUUCAAAUUAACACGUUUUAUGCAUUCAAGGCUUCCUUACUUUCCGCAAGCAUGUUGAGCGCAUCAUUUUUCUUGUUGAGAUGUUGUAGGUAAUAUGAAUGUUA